GUGUUGACUCAUACCUUCGCGCGGAGGAACAGAAGCUACGUCACACAGGCUAAUACAAAAACAUGAUGAUACAUUAGCGAUGUUUUAAAAUGAUGGCCAGUGAUUAUUUGCACAUUAUAUCCACCUUUUUCUUCCCGUAAGUGAAGGGCGCGGCAAUUUGUAAAUUCUGGCUUCCGGUCUCAUCAGCGUCCAGCUAUUCAAGCUGUACAAAACUAAUUUUGCAGCUUGAUAUUGCAAAUUGCGGAUAAUGAACAGGAAGUCUCGCCCAUAGGCUUUCUUCAGCGUUAAAGAAUAAGGUGGAUACUGAUUGCUGGGUCGAGCGCCGCUACCAUGAAGAACUUGGACGAGAACAAAGCGCUAUUAUCAUCACUUAUCAAACGAAACGUUGUUUUUCGUUUCAAGAUGAUGGAAAUGGUACUGGAGUCUUAACGUGCAAGGAGACAAGACGUGGGUUAUUGUAGCCCGAAGACUGUUGGCCUACGCUUCCACUUUUCCAGAAUUAUUAUUAUGAAGUUUGCGUUGCCAUGGCAGCGGAACUACUGCGGCUGUGAUGGUCAGUACAGGUGAGUUAUCUGACCACAGGCUCUGUUUGACCACUCAUACUGAUGAGAAAUCAGCUCUUCAAACUCUAACCUCUGACCAGCACUGACACAACAGAUCAGUGCUUGUAUGGAAUCGCAGCCCAAUCAUUCUCCUGUUCAGUGGGGUGACAUUUAAUACACAUCAGUCUUAUCAUCUCUUAAUCUAAGAUAUACAUUAAAUCUGUUUUCUGGAAGAUUCCUCACAGAUGUCCCUGGUAUUUGAGAAG